ensembl:rRNA 5S_rRNA 5S ribosomal RNA
UAUGGCCAUACCACCCUGAACGUACCCGAUCUUGUCUGAUCUCAGAAGCUAAGCAGGGUCAGGCCUGGUUAGUAUUCGGAAGGGAGAAAACAGAGUCGUGCCCAAAU